AGCACUUUGAAGCAAAAUGAAAUACUGAAACACAAAAUACUAAAAGUGACAAAGAAGAAGAAUGGGUUUGAACAACUUUGACAAGAGACGAAAGCUCUGGUAUGUCCUCUGAACUUGAGAAACCCCCAUAGUCCAAAAAGAGUGUGUUUAAGCGCCUCGGCUG